rnacentral:lncRNA from 1 species
AGUGGGUUCCCGUGCACCCACACAACUUUGCAUACGUGGGGCAGUGACACUGUGUGGAUGCCUGCUGUGAAUGGCCUCUGGCCGUGAGCGUCUGAGUGCCUGCUGUUUCAUCUGGAACUUCUCUUAACCUGAAGAGAAGCGAACACUUUAAACUUGGAAGGAGAGCAAAGGGAACAUCACUGCAAACAGUACUGGUCACAUGUAUAACGUUUCUGAGUAAGUGUUGAAUUCAGUAGCUUAAACUCAGGACAUUUCAAAAAACUCAAUAGCUACAGCUCACUUUUGUUUCAUUUCAUAGUAGAAAAAUAUAUCAGACUAUUCAAGUUCUUGUCCAGACCUUCGUUUUUAAUGUAAACGUGGAUGCUUAUGCUUAGUGAUAGAUGAUGCCAUCUCGCUUCCUCAGGUUUCCUCUCCGGACCUGCACUCUGCAUUGUCCUCCUCUUCAUGGGCAGUGGCCGAGGCUCGACCGGUGAUGUUUCCCCCAUUCUUCCCUCUUUCAAGACCAGAGUCCGAAGUAGCGAAUUCAGACGGUAUCGUGUGGGCUGGGAAAUACUGAACAGAUCCCAGGUAGCUGUUGGUCUAAGGAAAACAAAGGAUGAGUGGAGCUGGCUUGAACCUGAGCUGUGUUCCGAAGCAGAACUUCCCCAGGCUCCUCUCAGUGGGAAGCUAUUGAAGAUUGUUGGACAGCAGUGUCUAUAGCCUGAAUGAGGAAGAGAGUUUAUUGCCAGUACCUGAAAUAAUGGAUACAAUGGAUGGACACAUUUGAGAAGCUGUGUUCACGUUGAGUCAGUUCUGGUGAGUCUUCCAUGAGAUGUUCUACACAGGCAGGUGGAGAGGCAAGCACCGUGGCUGUAGGUGUGAGAGUCAUUGCCACUGACAUGGCUGUUAGUGCUAAAACCAUGAAAUUCAACAAGUUUUUCUAGAACAGUGAGUUUAAGUAGGGAAGAUGGGUGUGUCCGGGGUAUAACCCUUAAGUGGGAGGGAAUGAAAUAAAAUCUAAUUAGAAGAUGGGAGGAGGAAG